UGAGGAAUAUUGGUCAAUGGCCGGAAGGCUGAACCAGCCAAGUCGCGUGAGGGAAGACGGCCCUACGGGUUGUAAACCUCUUUUGUCAUGGAGCAAACCUCUCCACGCGUGGGGAGUCGAGAGUACCUGAAGAAAAAGCAUCGGCUAACUCCGUGCC
rnacentral:rRNA from 1 species